ACAUACAAACAAAAUACUGGCACUGUAGGACAUACAAACAAAAUAUUUUGUUUGUAUGUCCUACAGUGCCAGUAUUUUGGUUGUGUGU
rnacentral:pre_miRNA from 1 species